UGAGAGUUUGUCACAAAUAUCUAAGGUCAGCAUGACAGUGUCUUUUCUUCAGCUCUUUAGGUUGGCUAUUAAACAGAUUAGGAUUAAACAGAUAAGGAUGCGUUUCUUUUUCCAUCACUAUAUUUCACUGGUAAUUUAGGCAAAGAAGAAAUGCCCAAUCCUCAGUUUACAAACUGUGUGUGAACAAAUUUAUCAGAUCAUCUCUAGCAAGCGGAAAAGGCGGAGUAAAUAAAUGCCUUUAAUUGUUCUGUUAUUAUGUCUGCCUAGCACUCUUUUUCUUUAGAAAAAGACCCAGCGCUAAAGGAAAACAUGGGACUUCUGUCAGUUUCUGGUUAUGUAGUGCUGUUUUCCUCCUUGUUCACACAUGGAGCAUUUGAAGAUACGGAUCGGUAUGAAUCAGUCAAAGAUUCUCACUCAGACGCUGCUCUAAAGGUCCAGCCUGACCGCAGACAACACUUCAGGGGGGGAAAUUUCACCCUUCUCUGCUCAGUAAUAGGUGGUAAUUCAACAGGCUGGAUACUGAAUAGGCUUCAAGGAGCUAAAACGAGGUCAGGAUGUUUGCAGUUGAAUGGCACAGAAUUUACAGACAGACCUGAAGAAUGUCAUUUCAUUGACAUUGACUACAAGAAUAGUGGACUGUACUGGUGUGAGAGUCCUGCUGAAAACAAGACAAGCAACACUGUCAACAUCACUGUGAGCUAUGACUCCACAGAAGAUGAAAAGACAUUUACAGGAUCUUUGGUCUGGGUGUCAGGGCUUUGUGUUAUCUUGGUUAUUCUAGUGGUUUUUCCUUUGCUCUGGCUGUUGUUUCCAAGUUUCAGGGAGAAAUUGCAUGUGUGUCCAAAUAGGGCAUUCAGGAGGGAAAGGGUCCAACAGGAAAUGCCUAAAACCAAGCAGGACGUGACUGAAAUCCAGUGGGAUCUUCCCUGGAUGGAAAUGGACAAUUUGCUGGACAAACACCAAAAUCCUGGCAGCUGAACAUUCUACAUUUCAUGUUAUCACAUAAUAUUUCUGAAGACAGAACUGCCACUGUGGUUUAUAGAGUGAGUGAUGGGUAAUAUGACAGAUGAAUAAAGACAGAUGUUUUUUUCAAUUACAAAAUGACAUUGAUUUGUCAUUUCUCUGUGACUCGUUCACAUACACAGUAAAACCUUGUGUGAACUGAAUAAUUUUUCUGCACAGGAUGCCAAGCAAGCUGGUAAUUAAAUUUUUUUGUUAUUUUGUUGUUUUUAUUAUUUUUAUUAUGGUUAGGCCUAUUGCACAGUGCAGUGUUGACAUAUAAAAUAUUUAUUUCUUUAAAAAGGACAAAUAAAUAAAUAACAGCGAUGUAUCAUGUACAUUCAAAGCUGACUGAAAAUGCUAUUUUUUUAUGUUUAACAUUGUGACAUUUGAUAAACUGUUUAAUGUCAGUGUUACAGUGCCUUGCGAAAAUGUUCAUACCUCUUCAUUUUUUUCACGUUUUGUUUAUGUUGCUGCCUUAUGUUAAACUACUUUAAAUUCUUUUUUUUCCCACAUCAAUCUACACUCCACACACCAUGAUGACAAAGCAAAAACAGAAUUGUCAAAACUUCAUAAAUUUAUUAAAAAUAAAUAAACUGAAAUAAGUACAUUGCAUCAGAAUUCAUACCCUUAAACCAGUACUUAGGUGAAGCACCUUUAAACCCUCAAGUCCUUUUGGUAUGAUGUGACAAGCUUUGCACAUCAGCAUUUGGCAAUUAUCUGCCAUUCUUGACCUCACCUCUUCACCUCUCAAGCUCUGUCAGGUUGGAUGGGGGCAGACGCACAUUUUCAGGUUUCUCCAGAAAUAUUUGACUUUGUUCAAUCCCAGGCUUUGGCUGGACCACUCAAGGACAUUCACAGGAGAAUCUUGUUUCUCACAAUCUGAGGGUUCUUUAGGUGCUUCUUUGCAAAUUCCAAGUAUUUUUAAUGUGUCUUCACUGAGGAGAGGAUUGAGUUUGGCCACGCCACCAUACAGACUAGAUCGGUGGAGUGUUGCAGUGAUGUUUGUCCUUCUGUAGAUUUCUCCUAUCUCCUCAUAUGAUCAUAGAGCUCAACCAGAGUUGCCAUCAGGUUCUUGGUCACCAGUCUAACCAAAGACCUUCUCCAUCGAUUGCUCAGUUUGGCCAGGAGGCUUGCUCUAGGAAGAGUCCUGGUUGUUUCAAACUUCUUCCACUAAGAGUAAUGGAGACUACAUGCUUCUGCGAACCUUCAAUGCAGCAGAAUCUUUUUUCUGAACUCUUCCCCAGAUGUGUGGCUUGAUGCAGUCCUGUUUCCGAGUUCUAGGCAGUUCUUUUGACCUUAGGGCUUGGUUUUUGCUCUGAUAUGCAUUUUCAGCUGUUACACCUUUAUUGAGAGGUGUGUGCCUUUCCAAAUCAUAUCAAUUCAAUUGAAU
rnacentral:lncRNA from 1 species